AGGAAAACACGGGAACCAAGACGUCUCUGUUUCUCCAAAGCUGGAACAGCAUUUUACCCAGCCUCAUCCACAGCGAGCCACCCUGGGCCUCCACACUCAGCAGCAUAGAAUUGAUUAUCUUUUUGUGCCACAGAGAUCUACUGGGCACCUACUGUGUGCUGGGCUCUGCACUGGAUGUAAACAAACCUUCAGCUGGUGUGUAUUUUCCCCACUGCUAUGCCAUCACUUGGGGCUGACCAGGUGUAUGAGAGAGAUGCCAGACUCCAUUCUAUUUUUUACCCCGUGCAUACUUGGGCACGCCAGCUAACGUCUCUGAGCUGAAGUUCCCUCAUCAGUGAAGUGGAAGUGAUGAAAUCUGCUCUGAAGACUUCAGAGAUGAAAUGAGCUGAUGUUAGGGGCUCAGCCUGGAUCAUAGUAUGUGCUCAACAAACCAUCUGUGAGACUGUUAUUAUCUAGGACACAAUUGUCUAUUAAGUAAGUGGUUCCUUGGACACAGGACACAGAGAAGAGGUCCUGCUCCCAGAUGUUUCUCUGACUUAAACAGUUCAGAGCCAUGUGUGUGUUGAGAGGCAACGGCAUCUCUGUGGAAGACCUGGCCAGGAGAGCAGACAGUUCACCUCACUUCUCCAUUGCUCCGUGGCCUGCCAAUCACCGAUGCGCCUUUCUCUGCUGCACCAAGAUCUGGUGACCGUGAGGGGAACAUGAAGCCUCUCUCUGCCUUGCUUCCACAUAAAUAAUUCAGCGAUACUAACAGUCUCUAUCGCACAGCGCUAUUAUGAGAUUAGAUAUAUAAGAUAUAGAGUUGUGCUGGCUCUGAAAUGUACUGUAUAGCCCAGGCUGCCUCUGAAAGGCGCUGUGUAGCCCAAGGCUGGCCCUGAACAUAUGGCAGUCCUCCUGCCUCAGCCUCCUGAGUGCUGGGAUCAUAGACACAAGUGAUUAUGUCCAUAUAAUGCUUGAAAAAUAUAUGGUCUUAUUAUUUUUAACU
rnacentral:lncRNA from 1 species